AGUACUGGGGGUCAGACUAAAAAGUCCAAGUCUGAUCAGAGUUAGACAGAGUGCUUCUAUUAUAGGAGGCAGGAUCAGUAGAAGAAGAACCAUCCUCAAUAUAUAACUUUUCUUGAUCCAAACAGACAAAAGAAGAAGAAGCAAUCGGUUGCUGGGUAAAAUAAUUAUAUAAUAAUACCUUGCAACUUCUCUAUUUGUGAUACAAUGAUCUAGGUAUUAGAUACUGGUUGUCCUAUUAAUAUUUAUAAUUCGUUAUAGGGACUUCAAGUCAGUAAGAGAUUUGAAGAUGGUGAGAGAUUUCUAAAUGUCG
rnacentral:lncRNA from 1 species